AGAAAACCAAAAGGUGUGGACA
rnacentral:siRNA from 1 species